UACGUAGGGUGCAAGCGUUGUCCGGAAUUAUUGGGCGUAAAGAGCUCGUAGGCGGUUUGUCGCGUCUGCUGUGAAAACUCGGGGCUCAACUCCGAGCUUGCAGUGGGUACGGGCAGACUAGAGUGCGGUAGGGGAGACUGGAAUUCCUGGUGUAGCGGUGAAAUGCGCAGAUAUCAGGAGGAACACCGAUGGCGAAGGCAGGUCUCUGGGCCACUACUGACGCUGAGAAGCGAAAGCGUGGGGAGCGAACAGG
rnacentral:rRNA from 1 species